rnacentral:rRNA from 1 species
CCCUUAGAUGUUCUGGGCUGCACGCGCGCUACACUGAAGCGUUCAACGAGUAUUCACCUUGCCCGGGAGGGUUGGGUAAUCUUUUGAAAACGCUUCGUGAUGGGGAUAGAUUAUUGCAAUUAUUCAUCUUCAACGAGGAAUUCCUAGUAAACGCAAGUCAUCAGCUUGCAUUGAUUACGUCCCUGCCCUUUGUACACACCGCCCGUCGCACCUACCGAUUGAAUGGUCCGGUGAAAUCUUCGGAUCUGAGAGAUGUUGGAUUAAUUUCUGACGCCUUUUGGAAAAGUCGCUUAAACCUUAUCAUUUAGAGGAAGGUGAAGUCGUANCA